rnacentral:rRNA from 1 species
AUUGAACGCUGGCGGCAGGCCUAACACAUGCAAGUCGAGCGGGGUUUUCGAACCUAGCGGCGGACGGGUGAGUAAUGCGUAGGAAGCUACCCGAUAGAGGGGGAUACCAGUUGGAAACGACUGUUAAUACCGCAUAAUGUCUACGGACCAAAGUGUGGGACCUUCGGGCCACAUGCUAUCGGAUGCGCCUACGUGGGAUUAGCUAGUUGGUGAGGUAAUGGCUCACCAAGGCGACGAUCCCUAGCUGGUUUGAGAGGAUGAUCAGCCACACUGGAACUGGGACACGGUCCAGACUCCUACGGGAGGCAGCAGUGGGGAAUAUUGGACAAUGGGCGCAAGCCUGAUCCAGCCAUGCCGCGUGUGUGAAGAAGGCCUUCGGGUUGUAAAGCACUUUCAGUAGGGAGGAAGCGUUGUGUGUUAAUAGUACACAGCGUUGACGUUACUCGCAGAAGGAGCACCGGCUAACUCUGUGCCAGCAGCCGCCGUAAAAC